GACGAACGCUGGCGGCGUGCUUAACACAUGCAAGUCGAACGGAAAGGCCCUGCUUUUGUGGGGUGCUCGAGUGGCGAACGGGUGAGUAACACGUGAGUAACCUGCCCUUGACUUUGGGAUAACUUCAGGAAACUGGGGCUAAUACCGGAUAGGAGCUCCUGCUGCAUGGUGGGGGUUGGAAAGUUUCGGCGGUUGGGGAUGGACUGGCGGCUUAUCAGCUUGUUGGUGGGGUAGUGGCUUACCAAGGCUUUGACGGGUAGCCGGCCUGAGAGGGGGACCGGCGACAUGGGGCCUGAGAUACGGACCAGACUCCUACGGGAGGCAGCAGUGGGGAGUAUGGCACAAUGGGCGGAAGCCUGAUGCAGCAACGCCGCGUUCGGGAUGACGGCCUUCUGGUUGUAAACCGCUGUCGCCUGUGACGAAGCGUGAGUGACGGUAAUGGGUAAAGAAGCACCGGCUAACUACGUG
rnacentral:rRNA from 1 species